UGGGGAAUUUUGGACAAUGGGGGAAACCCUGAUCCAGCCAUCCCGCGUGUGCGAUGAAGGCCUUCGGGUUGUAAAGCACUUUUGGCAGGAAAGAAACGUCGCGGGUUAAUACCCCGUGAAACUGACGGUACCUGCAGAAUAAGCACCGGCUAACUACGUGCCAGCAGCCGCGGUAAUACGUAGGGUGCAAGCGUUAAUCGGAAUUACUGGGCGUAAAGCGUGCGCAGGCGGUUCGGAAAGAAAGAUGUGAAAUCCCAGAGCUUAACUUUGGAACUGCAUUUUUAACUACCGGGCUAGAGUGUGUCAGAGGGAGGUGGAAUUCCGCGUGUAGCAGUGAAAUGCGUAGAUAUGCGGAGGAACACCGAUGGCGAAGGCAGCCUCCUGGGAUAACACUGACGCUCAUGCACGAAAGCGUGGGGAGCAAACAGGAUUAGAUACCCUGGUAGUCCACGCCCUAAACGAUGUCAACUAGCUGUUGGGGCCUUCGGGCCUUGGUAGCGCAGCUAACGCGUAAGUUGACCGCCUGGGGAGUACGGUCGC
rnacentral:rRNA from 1 species